rnacentral:misc_RNA from 1 species
UUGGUGUCCAAUAGGUGAUAACAUUACUUCAAAGAGGUGAUAAAUGUGGUUAGUUUCUUUUGUGAAACUAUGAAUAGCUAUUGACGUAUCAUUUAGGAUUUGCUACUGUUUACAAGUCAAAGUCCAUAGUUGGUGAAGUAUCACUGUGAUUUAGGAUAUUGGAACCUCGGAAUAACUUGUCGGGCUUCCUACUUUUAGGGUGAUUUUGGCCCAUAGGAUCAUCAGUUAUAUGCUUUUCUUCACUUUCAAAAUAUCAUCAGCCUUGUAAAAAUGUUUGUUUACAUGAGUCAACAUCUGUGUAUUGCUGAUAGGGAUGGCAACUGUUCCCGGCCCCGAUAUGUCCUGCACCUUAUCAAUUUUUCCUUGACCUCAUCCUACCCCUGAUAUUGUGUGGGGCGAGGACAGGGAUAAGGUCUCCCUGCCCCGAAUCCGUGGAACUUGCCCUGAUAAUUAUGUAUUAUUAUUUUUUAUUAAAAAAAAUUAAUUUAUUUUUAUGUAUUUAAGUAAUUAAAUAUUAUAGUUAUCAAUAUAGUUAUCAAUAUAUAUAUAUACAUAUACAACUCAACUCAACUAAG